UCUAGUACAAACACAGGCAGAAGUCAUAGGAAAAAACAACAUCAGCAAAACCUUGAAUAUAUCCUGGAGUUUGAAGAUUAAUUCGGAUUUGGCUUAGAAAUUGUUAGGGUUUUUUAUAAUUAUAGUAAUUUUGUGGGAGAUUGUUAAUUUCUUUUUAACACUGGCUACAGCAUUCCCUAUGGGCACAACGCUGCAUUUCGGAGAAACUGCUUUCAGUGAUCAAAACAAUAUUCAGGUAUCUAUUCCAAAAAUGUGACAAACAAAUACAAAUGAACAACUUUCUGUAUUCCACAAACCCAGUAAUGAACAUAAACUUUAUUCUGGAAACCAACAGUACACAGCAAAAGGGUAGGGGAGAGGGAAUCUAGGGAAUCUCACAAACAAAAUUACAUGAUGUCUGAAAUUUACUUCAAAAUGUGUACAGGGAGCUGGGGAGAGUUAGAGACAAGAAGAAAAAGAUGAACCAAGUCUGGCCCAUACUGCCAGUAACUGUUGAAGUUAGGCAAGGGUAUACAGGAUUCCUUAUGCUACUCUUUCCUUUACUUACAGAAAUAUUUUAACUUUUCCACAAUAAAAAGCUCAAUAGACACAUUUCUAUAAUCACAAAUGAUAUUCUUCUUUCCAAAAAACUACUCCAAUAAGUAACCACACACAGUAAAAACAUGGCUUAAGAAUUUUUAACCAAAAAAAAAAAUCCUUAAAAAGAGCCAAGUUAUCCUUCCAUGCUGUUGUAAGUGCAGCACAGAGCAAGUUAUACAAACAUCACAUAUCUAUAGAACAUCCUAGAAUACUCCCUCAAGUCUUUCAUUUUAAGCUGUAGCACUGAGGAUAAAGAUGAACUGUGUCAAUUAGGUGGGGGCCACAUCUGUACUACAUAUGCAACCCACAUCUACAGCUCUUAUCAGCAGAGCUUCAACGUACCUUUAUUUUCCUGUCUGUUUUCGUGGUGGGCCUCCCUUCAGAUUCCUACCCUCCCCCCAUCCAAAUCUCCAAAUUUACUUCCUUCUCCUUGGACUUGAACUUAAAUCUCCCAUUUUAAAUAUAUAUAUACACCCAGAUACUACAAAACAUUCCAUAGCAGUGAACGUUUUUUAUACAAAUUAGCCAAGAUUUUACUGCAAUUCUAGCUUUUUAAAUUAUUUUUUAAAAACAUCUUUUUAAAUAAUCCCUAUCUAAUUUAGAUCAAGAGUUUGAGGGCUGGUAGCUCAAUUCAUUCACAUAUUUUCUUUCGAAGGUUUUUGCUGAGUGCUCUGUUUCAACUAGAGGUAAAAGAUUAAAGAACUGUUAUGACUAGCUCUUUCUCAAAGAGGGAUGUUUUAAAAGGAAAGAAACCGUCUCUUCUUGUUACUGUAAAUGAGCAGCCUCUUGUUCUCAGCAGUCCGUCUGCACACAAGACCACUACUGACUUCAGUGGGAAUUCUGCCCAAAAAGUGAGGAAGACAGGAUAGGAUUAAAUUAGUCCUAAAUCCACAGCAUUGUUCCAAGCCACUACCACUUCUCCAGGAACCUCGAAGAGUAGAUAUCCGAGGUCCUCAAACCUGAAUUUCAGAAAUGAUCACUUGAGCUCUGACAGGUGACAUAGCAGAGCUCUUUAAAAGUUGUGUCAAACUCGCAGCCUGAUGGAUGUACUCAGCUGGCCUUUAUCACAAUUCAAGAUUGCAUUGCAAUGCAGCCCCGUUAGAGGCUGCAACAGUAAUCCACUAAUUUCCCGCAGCACAGAGGGAAACUGAAUGAGAUUAAGCACCCCUCGAUCACCAGUAAAACCUGCCCAAAGCCUGAUCCUUCCAAAUCCCAAUCCCAACCGCCAAGAAACUGACUCAGUUUCCCCCAAUUAUGAGGAAUCUCACAGGACACCAAACUAUAACAGUAAUUCUCGAUACUGUAUUAUAAGUAGGCAGGGAAUCCAGAAAUAAUGGAUUCUGAUGAAAGAGCAAAGGGGGUUAUAAGGAGGAGACUGAAAAAAAUAAACGAAUGAAGAAAAACCUGUGAAAGCCUUUU
rnacentral:lncRNA from 1 species